rnacentral:rRNA from 1 species
AUGCAACCCCGGGUCUCCGGCGGUCUUCAACAUCGACCACUGGACACAACGCUGGCCUCGAGAAAAGAUAAACCGGAGUCCAAUAGCGUGGUUCUUUUCCGAUUUAAUUUCUGCCAUAACAAGUCUUUUUGCAGGAAGAAUACAGAAGGAGAAGAUGCAAGAGGAAUCAAUGAAAAAUUAGAAACACUCCUCUUACGGCAGAAAACUCCGGUGAUUUCUUUGAACGGCGCCAGAAACAGAGGCAAUCCAUCAACGACAUCGUCAACUAAAGAUCAAAGAAGAACAGAGCUUGUCAAUCUGGCCUCAAUUAAAAAAACAGAGAUUACUAAUCUUUGCCUGUUUGAUCUAAUAUUCUUGUGA